AGAGUUUGAUCCUGGCUCAGGAUUAACGCUAGCGGCAGGCAUAAUACAUGCAAGUUGAACGGCAGCACAGGUAGCAAUACCGGGUGGCGAGUGGCGCACGGGUGCGUAACACGUAUGCAACCUACCCUAUACAGGCGAAUAACCUUUAGAAAUGAGGGCUAAUACGCCGUGGUAUUAUCUUGGGGCAUCUUGAGAUAAUUAAAGAUUUAUCGGUAUAGGAUGGGCAUGCGUCCCAUUAGUUAGUUGGUAGGGUAACGGCCUACCAAGGCUAUGAUGGGUAGGGGAUCUGAGAGGAUUUACCCCCACACUGGUACUGAGACACGGACCAGACUCCUACGGGAGGCAGCAGUAAGGAAUAUUGGGCAAUGGGCGCGAGCCUGACCCAGCCAUGCCGCGUGCAGGAAGACGGCCCUAUGGGUUGUAAACUGCUUUUAUACGGGAAUAAUUGUGGGUAUGUAUACUCACUUGCAAGUACUGUAUGAAUAAGCAUCGGCUAACUCCGUGCCAGCAGCCGCGGUAAUAC
rnacentral:rRNA from 1 species